rnacentral:tRNA from 1 species
GCCACGGUGGUCUAGUGGUUAGAACGCUGGCCUUGUAAUCGUGGGGUCUCGGGUUCGAUUCCCGGCGGUGCCA